rnacentral:rRNA from 1 species
GAAGCCGCGAGGUAGAGCAAAUCUCAAAAAGACAUCUCAGUUCAGAUUGCAGGCUGCAACUCGCCUGCAUGAAGUCGGAAUUGCUAGUAAUCGUAGGUCAGCAUACUACAGUGAAUACGUUCCCGGGCCUUGUACACACCGCCCGUCAAACCAUGAGAGUUGGCAACACCCGAAGUCGGUAGUCUAACCGCAAGGAGGACGCCGCCGAAGGUGGGGUUGAUGAUUAGGGUUAAGUCGUAACAAGGUAGC